ensembl:snRNA U6 U6 spliceosomal RNA
AUACUAACUUCAUCAGCACAUAUAGUAAAAUCAGAAUGAUACACAGAAGAUUAGCAUGAGCCCUGCACAAAGAUGACAAGCAAAAUAAUAAAGUAUUU